UACGUAGGGUGCAAGCGUUGUCCGGAUUUAUUGGGCGUAAAGGGUCCGUAGGCGGUUAGAAAAGUCAUGUUUCAAAUACCGGGGCUUAACCUCGGAAAGGGACGUGAUACUGUCUAACUUGAAUAAUUUAGGGGCUACUGGAACUUGGCAUGUAGGGGUGAAAUCCGUUGAUAUGCCAAGGAACACCGAGGGCGAAGGCAAGUAGCUGGGAAUUUAUUGACGCUGAGGGACGAAAGCUAGGGUAGCGAAAGGG
rnacentral:misc_RNA from 1 species